CUACGGGCUGCAGCAGUGGGGAAUAUUGCACAAUGGGCGCAAGCCUGAUGCAGCCAUGCCGCGUGUAUGAAGAAGGCCUUCGGGUUGUAAAGUACUUUCAGCGGGGAGGAAGGGAGUAAAGUUAAUACCUUUGCUCAUUGACGUUACCCGCAGAAGAAGCACCGGCUAACUCCGUGCCAGCAGCCGCGGUAAUACGGAGGGUGCAAGCGUUAAUCGGAAUUACUGGGCGUAAAGCGCACGCAGGCGGUUUGUUAAGUCAGAUGCGAAAUCCCCGGGCUCAACCUGGGAACUGCAUCUGAUACUGGCAAGCUUGAGUCUCGUAGAGGGGGGUAGAAUUCCAGGUGUAGCGGUGAAAUGCGUAGAGAUCUGGAGGAAUACCGGUGGCGAAGGCGGCCCCCUGGACGAAGACUGACGCUCAGGUGCGAAAGCGUGGGGAGCAAACAGGAUUAGAUACCCGUGUAGUC
rnacentral:rRNA from 1 species